rnacentral:lncRNA from 1 species
CCAUAUUGCCAUGCCAUCAGUGGCUAACACUUCAUCACUUUUAAAAAGUGGGUAUUUAAGAAAAUGAGUGUUCUGCCUUUCUAGUACCAACUGUAUUUUUGAAAACCAAAUAGCUGAUGAGGAAGCAAUUCUUUGCUUUUUUAAAAAAAAGUAUACUGGCUAAAUGCAGGAAAUGGGGGUACUGGGAUUAGAACAUCUGUCUCUGGUGCAACCAAACUUCCCGUCAGGAGCAUCAGGUCACAGGGAUGUUUAUAGAGUCUCAGUUAUCCCCCAAGGCUCACUGCUAGUCAUUGGACAGGAAGACCAUGAUUAUUUGGGAAACCUGACCUCUCUCACCUGAUAGCCAGUCAAUCUGGUCACCAAUAAAAGAAGACUAUCCUGACACAGUCAGAAAGCAACAUGAAGCUGGGCAUUGUGGACUGCACCUUUAAUACCAUCACUCGAGAGGCAGAGGCAGGCAGUUCUCUGUGAGUUCAAGGCCAGCCUGGCCUAGAGAGUAAGUUCCAAGAUAGCCAGGGCUGUUAUACAGAGAAACCUUGUUUUGAAAAACAACAACAACAAUAAUAACAACAACAUGAAGCAACACGAAGCCCCCACAUCUGUGAACUACAAUUUACAAAGGAUUUUUAGCCUCAAAAAAAAAAGCCUUUUAUCUUUUAUAUCACCCUCUUCCAGAAACCAUUCAUGUAUAAGAACAAAUGGCAAUAGAAGAAAACAGUGAAGAACACCUUGAACUUAUCUCUUACAUUGUUGUGAUUAAAAAUAAAAGAUCCUCGGGUGUCUCCGUCACUAUGUACUUCAGGAAGGCUGGACCAGGCUGUAGCUAAGCUCCCCUAUUGCAGGUGAGUGGAACUGGAGUGGCAGGGGUGAGAGGGAGAGCCAGCUGAGCAGAAGCAGGCUUCCUCUGCACUGCAGAUUGCUGUGGGGCCACUGCUGAGC